rnacentral:rRNA from 1 species
CCUACGGGAGGCAGCAGUGGGGAAUAUUGCACAAUGGGGGAAACCCUGAUGCAGCGACGCCGCGUGAGUGAAGAAGUAUUUCGGUAUGUAAAGCUCUAUCAGCAGGGAAGAAGCAAGACGGUACCUGACUAAGAAGCCCCUGCUAACUACGUGCCAGCAGCCGCGGUACUACGUAGGGGGCAAGCGUUAUCCGGAUUUACUGGGUGUAAAGGGAGCGUAGACGGUAUGGCAAGUCUGAAGUGAAAGCCUAGGGCUUAACCCUGGGACUGCUUUGGAAACUGUUAGACUAGAGUGCUGGAGAGGUAAGUGGAAUUCCUAGUGUAGCGGUGAAAUGCGUAGAUAUUAGGAGGAACACCAGUGGCGAAGGCGGCUUACUAGACAGUAACUGACGUUGAGGCUCGAAAGCGUGGGGAGCAAACAGGAUUAGAUACCCUUGUAGUC